UUUUUCUCAUCUCUCUCUAAAUUAAAAUAAAAUUCAUACACGGUUCGGCAAUUUCUUCUCUCUCAAUCGCACAAUCACAUCAAAAGGGAUCUGAGAACCCUUCCUACAAAUCGCAGAUAAAGCAUGAUCUAAUCGGCCUCUCGCGAUAGCCCUAUCGCAACUCUCAGGUGUUGUUUUUUCACAUAUUCUUUGAUGCCAACAAGUCUUUAAUUUGUUGAUGGCUUUGAGAGAUUAUCAUGCUUUUGACCAUUUGAGGUGUUUGCUUUGGAAAUACAUCUAAGCUCAAUGGAGAAGAAAGAGACGAGUGAAAAUGCAUGUUUAGGUUGAUAAAUGUAUAUAACGAGUUGACGUUAGUGUAUAUAAUUUUGAACAAUUUUAAUAUGCACACGUGUACACAUUUUUUAUCCAACACAUGAGUGAAACAUCUAUACACAUAUGUGUAAUUGUAGAUUUGAAUUAUGUCUUUGAGCAUUUCCACCCGUUUUUAUUAUACUCACGAUCAAUU
rnacentral:lncRNA from 1 species